rnacentral:rRNA from 1 species
GACGAACGCUUGCGGCGUGCUUAACACAUGCAAGUCGAACGGAAAGGCCCUGCUUUUGUGGGGUGCUCGAGUGGCGAACGGGUGAGUAACACGUGAGUAACCUGCCCUUGACUUUGGGAUAACUUCAGGAAACUGGGGCUAAUACCGGAUAGGAGCUCCUGCUGCAUGGUGGGGGUUGGAAAGUUUCGGCGGUUGGGGAUGGACUCGCGGCUUAUCAGCUUGUUGGUGGGGUAGUGGCUUACCAAGGCUUUGACGGGUAGCCGGCCUGAGAGGGUGACCGGCCACAUUGGGACUGAGAUACGGCCCAGACUCCUACGGGAGGCAGCAGUGGGGAAUAUUGCACAAUGGGCGGAAGCCUGAUGCAGCAACGCCGCGUGCGGGAUGACGGCCUUCGGGUUGUAAACCGCUUUCGCCUGUGACGAAGCGUGAGUGACGGUAAUGGGUAGAGAAGCACCGGCUAACUACGUGCCAGCAGCCGCGGUGAUACGUAGGGUGCGAGCGUUGUCCGGAUUUAUUGGGCGUAAAGGGCUCGUAGGUGGUUGAUCGCGUCGGAAGUGUAAUCUUGGGGCUUAACCCUGAGCGUGCUUUCGAUACGGGUUGACUUGAGGAAGGUAGGGGAGAAUGGAAUUCCUGGUGGAGCGGUGGAAUGCGCAGAUAUCAGGAGGAACACCAGUGGCGAAGGCGGUUCUCUGGGCCUUUCCUGACGCUGAGGAGCGAAGGCGUGGGGAGCGAACAGGCUUAGAUACCCUGGUAGUCCACGCUGUAAACGGUGGGUACUAGGUGUGGGGUCCAUUCCACGGGUUCCGUGCCGUAGCUAACGCUUUAAGUACCCCGCCUGGGGAGUACGGCCGCAAGGCUAAAACUCAAAGGAAUUGACGGGGCCCCGCACAAGCGGCGGAGCAUGCGGAUUAAUUCGAUGCAACGCGUAGAACCUUACCUGGGUUUGACAUGGAUCGGGAGUGCUCAGAGAUGGGUGUGCCUCUUUUGGGGUCGGUUCACAGGUGGUGCAUGCCUGUCGUCAGCUCGUGUCGUGAGAUGUUGGGUUAAGUCCCGCAACGAGCGCAACCCUUGUUCACUGUUGCCAGCACGUUAUGGUGGGGACUCAGUGGAGACCGCCGGGGUCAACUCGGAGGAAGGUGGGGAUGACGUCAAGUCAUCAUGCCCCUUAUGUCCAGGGCUUCACGCAUGCUACAAUGGCUGGUACAGAGAGUGGCGAGCCUGUGAGGGUGAGCGAAUCUCGGAAAGCCGGUCUCAGUUCGGAUUGGGGUCUGCAACUCGACCUCAUGAAGUCGGAGUCGCUAGUAAUCGCAGAUCAGCAACGCUGCGGUGAAUACGUUCCCGGG